rnacentral:rRNA from 1 species
GACGAACGCUGGCGGCGUGCUUAACACAUGCAAGUCGAACGGAAAGGCCCUGCUUUUGUGGGGUGCUCGAGUGGCGAACGGGUGAGUAACACGUGAGUAACCUGCCCUUGACUUUGGGAUAACUUCAGGAAACUGGGGCUAAUACCGGAUAGGAGCUCCUGCUGCAUGGUGGGGGUUGGAAAGUUUCGGCGGUUGGGGAUGGACUCGCGGCUUAUCAGCUUGUUGGUGGGGUAGUGGCUUACCAAGGCUUUGACGGGUAGCCGGCCUGAGAGGGUGACCGGCCACAUUGGGACUGAGAUACGGCCCAGACUGCUACGGGAGGCAGCAGUGGGGAAUAGUGCACAAUGGGCGGAAGCCUGAUGCAGCAACGCCGCGUGCGGGAUGACGGCCUUCGGGUUGUAAACCGCUUUCGCCUGUGACGAAGCGUGAGUGACGGUAAUGGGUAAAGAAGCACCGGCUAACUACGUG